rnacentral:tRNA from 1 species
AGAUAAGAAGUAAUAAUUUACAACUAGUUUCGACCUAGAAAUUUGACUACUAAGUCCUUAUCUA